rnacentral:rRNA from 1 species
GCCUACGGGACGCAGCAGUGGGGAAUAUUGCACAAUGGGGGGAACCCUGAUGCAGCGACGCCGCGUGAGUGAAGAAGUAUUUCGGUAUGUAAAGCUCUAUCAGCAGGGAAGAAAAUGACGGUACCUGACUAAGAAGCCCCGGCUAACUACGUGCCAGCAGCCGCGGUAAUACGUAGGGGGCAAGCGUUAUCCGGAUUUACUGGGUGUAAAGGGAGCGUAGACGGCAGAGCAAGUCUGGAGUGAAAGCCCGGGGCCCAACCCCGGGACUGCUUUGGAAACUGUGUAACUGGAGUACAGGAGGGGCG